UUCUCCCCGAAAUGCGUUGAGGCGCAGCAGUUGACUCAUUGACUGGACAUCUAAGGGUAAAGCACUGUUUCGGUGCGAGCUGUACCAAAUCGAGGCAAACUUUGAAUACUAGAUAUGACCCAAAAUAAAUAGGGUCAAGGUCUGCCAAUGGGACGAUGGGGGAUAAGCUUCAUCGUCGAGAGGGAAACAACCCAGAUCACAGCUAAGGCUCUAAAUGACCGCUUAGAGAUAAAGGAGGUAGGGGGGCAAAGACAGCCAAGAGGUUUGCCUAGAAGCAACCACCCUUUAAAGAGUGUGUAUUCCACACUGAUCGAGCACCAUUGCGCUGAAGAUGAACGGGGCUAAGCGAUUUGCCGAAGCUGUGGGAUGUCAAAAUGCAUCGGUAGGGGAGCAUUCCGCCUUAGAGGGAAGCAAACGCGAAAGCGUGGGUCGACAAAGCGGAAGCG
rnacentral:ncRNA from 1 species